CCCGUUGCAGCACCGCAGGAGUGUAGUUGUUGACGUGCGCCACGAGAUAACGAUCGUACUCUAAAACUCUUGACUUGUCUCAACGGUCUCGUAACGCGGUGAUUGUGCGCAGGGACGCUGGCCGCUGCUGAGCGAGGAGCUGGCUUAGGUCUACCAGGCCGCUGACCCCGCGCCGCUCUGGUUCCACUACCUGGUCACCUACCAGGAAGCCGACGGUAACCCGGCGCUCACUGUGGGCGUUUUGCUGGAUCUGCUCUACCUCAGACUGAAGCUUUUGGGAUUGUACGGAGAGUGCAAGUCUUUACUGAAAACUGUGAGGAUUGUUCUUAAGAGCGAGCAUACAGGGACGGCGGCCACGAGGAGUCAGUGCAUGGAAGCCGGUGACGUGUGUCCCAUCUGCCAAGGAGAAUACAGGGAGCCUCAAUCUCUCAUCUGUCAGCACAUAAUCUGUGACCAGUGCAUCGCUCUGUGGUUCAACCGGGAGAAGAGCUGCCCCCUCUGCCCCACCGUGAUCACGGAAAAAGUGUACAAGUGGAAGGACGGAGCCACAUCGGCGUACCUGCAGAUUUACUGAUCGCACGCAUUUGGGAGCGUUGAUGAAUGUUACGUUGUUUGAUUGUGAAAAUUUGUACAACACUGGUCAAUGAAUUUUCUGAGGCCACUCACUGUCAUGAAAUUGAAGUUGUAGUUUUCCCCUUGUUGAUAUCUCAAAGUAUAUUCUACAUUCCCAACCCCUUUCAUUUCUCUUUGUAUGAUGAUAUUUUUCUCAUGGGCCUGCACGUUGACCUUCUUUGAAACUAUUCUUCUCCUAUAAAUACAAGAAAAUAUUUUUCGACAAUUUGCGAGAUUUCAGGUUUCAUGGGCUGUGUGUAAAAUCUUUCCAGCUCUACAUUUGAUCCUUUCAUGUCAGCCGGAGGUGAGUGGAUGUGCGCAGACCUCCGACAUGGAGUGAUCGGUGAAGACGCAUCUUUCAUCUUGAAGGGUUAAAGUUAACUUGGGGGGGCGCUGGCAAAUUGCACACUGCGAUGCCUUUGGAAAAGCUUCUACUAACGCUCCAACAGCAGCCUGUGUCAGGCGAUAGGAUAGGCACUGUAUACGUGUAAGCUGGUGCUGUUGCUAUUUUUGCAGCUCAGCAAGAUUUUACACAAAUUUUGGAAUAUUUUUUACAGAGACGAUUUACAAACACCAAAGAAUUGGAGAAAUAUAUUUUAUCUAAUGG